rnacentral:lncRNA from 1 species
AACAGUGAAAGGACCAGAAGAUGAUGGCAAGAGAGGCUGUUUUUCCAUCAUGAGUACAACUGAGAAAUAAAGAAAUUUUAGACUGCAAUCCUCACAGCCAGAAGCUCCUCUCUGGACAGGUAGCUCUUCUGGAAUGUGUCUUCUGAUAUGAAGUCAAUCCUGAGUGUGAACAGACUCCUUCUCUUAUCCUUGAAGAGAAAGAUAUUAAAGGAGCUCCACAAAACCAUGAACAUGUGCUAAGGCAGAGAG